rnacentral:rRNA from 1 species
AGUGAACGCUGGCGGUAGGCCUAACACAUGCAAGUCGAACGGCAGCACAGUAGAGCUUGCUCUUACGGGUGGCGAGUGGCGGACGGGUGAGGAAUACAUCGGAAUCUACUUUUUCGUGGGGGAUAACGUAGGGAAACUUACGCUAAUACCGCAUACGACCUACGGGUGAAAGCAGGGGAUCUUCGGACCUUGCGCGAUUGAAUGAGCCGAUGUCGGAUUAGCUAGUUGGCGGGGUAAAGGCCCACCAAGGCGACGAACCGUAGCUGGUCUGAGAGGAUGAUCAGCCACACUGGAACUGAGACACGUUCCAGACUCCUACGGGAGGCAGCAGUGGGGAAUAUUGGACAAUGGGCGCAAGCCUGAUCCAGCCAUACCGCGUGGGUGAAGAAGGCCUUCGGGUUGUAAAGCCCUUUUGUUGGGAAAGAAAAGCAGCAGGUUAAUACCCCGCUGUUCUGACGGUACCCAAAGAAUAAGCACCGGCUAACUUCGUG